rnacentral:rRNA from 1 species
AUUGAACGCUGGCGGCAUGCCUUACACAUGCAAGUCGAACGGCAGCACGGGUGCUUGCACCUGGUGGCGAGUGGCGAACGGGUGAGUAAUACAUCGGAACGCACCUUAUCGUGGGGGAUAACGCAGCGAAAGCUGUGCUAAUACCGCAUACGCCCUGAGGGGGAACGCGGGGGAUCGCAAGACCUCGCGCGAUUAGAGCGGCCGAUGCCUGAUUAGCUUGUUGGUGGGGUAAAAGCCCACCAAGGCGACGAUCAGUAGCUGGUCUGAGAGGACGAUCAGCCACACUGGGACUGAGACACGGCCCAGACUCCUACGGGAGGCAGCAGUGGGGAAUUUUGGACAAUGGGGGCAACCCUGAUCCAGCAAUGCCGCGUGAGUGAAGAAGGCCUUCGGGUUGUAAAGCUCUUUUGUCAGGGAAGAAACACCGGCUCUAACACAGUCCGGGAAUGACGGUACCUGAAGAAUAAGCACCGGCUAACUACGUGCCAGCAGCAGCCGCCG